UGUCCCUCAAGUCUAAAACUUUCAAGGACUGCAAUUUGGAUAGAAAACCAGGCACCGGUCCACUCAAGCUAUUGUUUGACAAAUCCAAAUAUUGUAACGAUGUGAGCUCAGACACAUAGGUAGCUAUUUCCCCCACCAAUCCGCUCGAAGACAAGUUCAAGGAGGUGAUUCUAUUAGGACUCUGGUCAUCAUAGCUACAAUUAAGACCAAG
rnacentral:misc_RNA from 1 species